GACGAACGCUGGCGGCGUGCUUAACACAUGCAAGUCGAACGGAGUGAAGGGGAGCUUGCUCCUUGGAACUUAGUGGCAAACGGGUGAGUAACGCGUAGGCAACCUGCCCUUCAGAUGGGGACAACAUUUCGAAAGGAAUGCUAAUACCGAAUGACGUGCAUUGGUCGCAUGACCGAUGUACCAAAGGCCGGGCAACCGGUCACUGAAGGAUGGGCCUGCGUCUGAUUAGCUAGUUGGUGGGGUAACGGCCCACCAAGGCGACGAUCAGUAGCCGGUCUGAGAGGAUGAACGGCCACAUUGGGACUGAGACACGGCCCAAACUCCUACGGGAGGCAGCAGUGGGGAAUCUUCCGCAAUGGGCGCAAGCCUGACGGAGCAACGCCGCGUGAGUGAAGAAGGUUUUCGGAUCGUAAAGCUCUGUUGUCAGGGACGAGAGACUUGAUCAGGAAAUGGGUCA
rnacentral:rRNA from 1 species